rnacentral:rRNA from 1 species
CUGCGGAGGAUCAUUACCGAGUGAGGGCCCUCUGGGUCCAACCUCCCACCCGUGUUUAACCACCUUGUUGCUUCGGCGGGCCCGCCUUAACUGGCCGCCGGGGGGCUUACGCCCCCGGGCCCGCGCCCGCCGAAGACACCCUCGAACUCUGUCUGAAGAUUGUAGUCUGAGUGAAAAUAUAAAUUAUUUAAAACUUUCAACAACGGAUCUCUUGGUUCCGGCAUCGAUGAAGAACGCAGCGAAAUGCGAUACGUAAUGUGAAUUGCAAAUUCAGUGAAUCAUCGAGUCUUUGAACGCACAUUGCGCCCCCUGGUAUUCCGGGGGGCAUGCCUGUCCGAGCGUCAUUUCUGCCCUCAAGCACGGCUUGUGUGUUGGGCCCCGUCCUCCGAUCCCGGGGGACGGGCCCGAAAGGCAGCGGCGGCACCGCGUCCGGUCCUCGAGCGUAUGGGGCUUUGUCACCCGCUCUGUAGGCCCGGCCGGCGCUUGCCGAUCAACCCAAAUUUUUAUCCAGGUUGACCUCGGAUCAGGUAGGGAUACCCGCUGAACUUAAGCAUAUCA